UUUUUUUUUUUUUGCUAUCAUAAAACACAUAACAAUGAACAUCCAUAUAUAUGCAUUCUUCUGUACUUUCCCAGUUACAUCCUAUGGAUAAAAUUCCUUGAAGGGCAAUAUAUUCCUGGCUCACAUUUCAGGCAUUUGUUUAAUACUACACUACCUACUGCUGCGUAGUCUCCCGAAAAGAUGUGUGACAAUCUGUGUAUCCUCCAGUACUGCAUGAGUGGGCAUUUUCCCCAUCCACAGCUAACGGGGUGAUAAAUAACAGUGACUUUUAAGAGAUGGAAGAGGAAAUAAUUUACAAAGUACCAUGGCUGCAGAGAAAACUGCAGUCUCCCUUUCAAAGAGAAAAAGGAAACAACAGGUCUACCAUCCAUGCUGUGACUCACAUAAAUUUGACAGAUAAUGAUUGUCAGCUAUACUUUCCGUGUUGCUUUCUUUAGCAGCUUGGAAGAGCCAAGUGGAAAACACAACCCUUGCCAGUCAAUAGAGUACUAUUAGCCAUGCACAGAGAAGGUCAGCAAGUCACUCCAUGAAGCAGAAAAGGCUGGAAAUCAGUGUAUGGGGCAGAGAGUCCACAUUGCAGGCAGGAGGUACCCUUGAGGUCUGAGCUGGCAGAGAAACUAUACGAGAAACAAGCUUAGUUGGAUCCUUCCAUUGAUGCUUGAUUUUGCCUUGUACAUAUUUCACUACCUAGAAAGACUAACAGGCAUCCAAUAUAAUAGUAUUUGCUCCAAAACAUUAAAUUCACCAAUGUAUGAUUGCUUUUCAAUAAGGGCUUCAUGUGUCCUUAUUUUUGAAGAGUAUCUCUCUUUCCAUUAUGUGAUAAUAAACAAUAUGUUUAAGAGUUUCAUUUCUGUGCCAAAAAGAAUGCUUUGCUUACUUCACGGGUCUCACACCAGGGCAGGCGGUAAUUGAAGAAGUCAAAGCAAAAUCAUGUACCCAUGUGCAAGCCAGAGUUUUACAGUGAAAUGUUUAAAAAAAACUAAUUUUUGGUUAAAUGUACAUUUUCCAGUAACUGUGGGGGAGCGAAAGAUACCAAUUUUUUUUUUUUUUUUUUUUCCAUUGUCUUCGUUGCCCAUGCUGGAGUGAGUGACAAUCACCGACUCACUGAAGCCUGGCCCUCCUGGGCUCAAGCAAUCCUCCCACCUCAGCCUCCCCAGUCACUGCAGACUGGUAUGCCAUCACAUCAAGUGAACCUUUUUAGGUUUUUGUAGGAUGGAGGUUUCGCCAUGUUGCCCAGACUGGUCUCAUACUCCAAGUGAUUCUCCUUCCUCAGCCUCUCCAAACACUGGGAUUACAGGCAUCAGCCACCAGGCUUGGCCCCAAAUCUUUAAAAUAUUCCCUAUGCCACUUUUCAUUUUUAAAAAUGCCAAUCUUGAUUGGAUUUUCCCUCACUCCUUCAUAUAACAAUGUUAGAUAUUUUACCAUUUUGGCACUCCACAUGAAACCCUCUGAAACAGAGAAAAGCCCCCAAUGUAAAUACAAUUAUUGUUGUUGUUGCUAUUAAAAAAAGCCAACCAUGGAGGUAUAAAGCUUACCUAAAGCAAACAUAAUUUUGACACCAACCUUUCCUUUUUAAGACUGUGUGCUUUAACUUUUUCCUACUAAAACUCUGUUGCUAGUAGCAUUAAUUCUGUUUCAUGCACUCACAAUAAAUCAUAGAAG
rnacentral:lncRNA from 1 species